GAUGAACGCUGGCGGCGUGCCUAAUACAUGCAAGUCGAGCGAACGGACGAGAAGCUUGCUUCUCUGAUGUUAGCGGCGGACGGGUGAGUAACACGUGGAUAACCUACCUAUAAGACUGGGAUAACUUCGGGAAACCGGAGCUAAUACCGGAUGAUAUUUUGAACCGCAUGGUUCAAAAGUGAAAGACGGUCUUGCUGUCACUUAUAGAUGGAUCCGCGCUGCAUUAGCUAGUUGGUAAGGUAACGGCUUACCAAGGCAACGAUGCAUAGCCGACCUGAGAGGGUGAUCGGCCGCACUAGAACUGAGACGCGGCCCAGACUCCUACGGGAGGCAGCAGUAGGGAAUCUUACGCAAUGGGCGAAAGCCUGACGGAGCAACGCCGCGUGAGUGAUGAAGGUCUUCGGAUCGUAAAACUCUGUUAUUAGGGAAGAACAUAUGUGUAAGUAACUGUGCACAUCUUGACGGUACCUAAUCAGAAAGCCACGGCUAACUACGUG
rnacentral:rRNA from 1 species